ensembl:lncRNA
UGGUGAGGGUAUGAGAGAGGUUGUGGGGGUCACAUGUAUGGUUGUGUAAGCUUCAGUUGCUGCUGAUGGUGGUGUUGUUGUUGUACUUCGUGAUGAUAUGAGAGUGGUUGUGGGGGUCACCUCUAUGGUUGUGGAAGCUUCAGUUUCUGUUGAUGGUGCUGUUGUUGGUGAAGCAGCAUUUUUUGUUGAUGGUGCAGUUGAACUUGGUGAGGAUAUGAGAGUGGUUGUGGGGGUCACCUCUAUAGUUGUGGAAGCUUCAGUUUCUGUUGAUUGCUCUGUUGUUGUUGAACUUGAUAAGGAUAUAAGAGUGGCUGUGGGGAUCUCAUCUAUGGUUGUGGAAGCUUCCGUUUCUGUUGAUGGUACAGUUGUUGUUGAAGCAGCAUUUUUUGCUGUCGAAGGUGCAGUUGUACUUGGUGAGGAUAUGAGAGUGGGUGUCGGGGUCCGCUGUAUAGUUGUGGAAGCUUCAGUUUCUGUUGAUGCUGCUGUUGUUGUUGAAGCAGCAUUUGUUGUGGAUGGUGCAGUUGUACUUGGUGAGGCUCUGUUCGUAGUUGUGGGGGUCACAUCUAUUGUUGUGGAAGCCUCAGUUUCUGUUGAUUGUGCUGUUGUUGUAUUUAGUGAGGAUAUCAGAGUGGUUGUGGGUGUCACCUCUAUGGUUGUGGAAACUUCAGUUUCUGUUGAUGGUGCUUUUGUUGUUGAAGCAGCAUUUGUUGUUGUUGAUGGUGCAGUUGUACUUGGUGAGGAUACGAGAGUGGUUGUGGGGGUCACAUCUAUUGUUGUGGAAGCCUCAGUUUCUGUUGAUUGUGCUGUUGUUGUUGAAGCAGCAUUUGUUGUUGAUGGUGCAGUUGUACUUGAUGAGGAUACGAGAGUGGUUGUGGGUGUCACCUCUAUGGUUGUGGAAACUUCAGUUUCUGUUGAUGGUGCUGUUGUUGUUGAAGCAGCAUUUGUUGUUGAUGGUGCAGUUGUACUUGGUGAGGAUAUGAGAGUGGUUGUGGGGGUCACCUCUGUAGUUGUGGAAGCUUCAGUUUCUGUUGAUGGCUCUGUUGUUGUUGAACUUGGUAAGGAUAUAAGAGUGGUUGUGGGGAUCUCAUCUAUGGUUGCGGAUGCUCCAGUUUCUGUUGAUGGUGCUGUUGUUGUAUUUAGUGAGGAUACCAGAGUGGUUGUGGGUGUCACCUCUAUGGUUGUGGAAACUUCAGUUUCUGUUGAUGGUGCUGUUGUUGUUGAAGCAGCAUUUGUUGUUGUUGAUGGUGCAGUUGUACUUGGUGAGGAUAUGAGAGUGGUUGUGGGGGUCACCUCUAUGGUUGUGGAAGCUUCAGUUUCUGUUGAUGGCUCUGUUGUUGUUGAACUUGGUAAGGAUAUAAGAGUGGUUGUGGGGAUCUCAUCUAUGGUUGCGGAUGCUCCAGUUUCUGUUGAUGGUGCUGUUGUUGUAUUUAGUGAGGAUACCAGAGUGGUUGUGGGGGUCACCUCUAUGGUUGUGGAAACUUCAGUUUCUGUUGAUGGUGCUGUUGUUGUUGUUGAAGCAGCAUUUGUUGCUGGUGAUGGUGCAGUUGUACUUUGUGAGGAUAUGAGAGUGAUUGUGGGGGUCACCUCUAUGGUUGUGGAAGCUUCAGUUUCUGUUGAUGGCUCUGUUGUUGUUGAACUUGGUAAGGAUAUAAGAGUGGUUGUGGGGAUCUCAUCUAUGGUUGCGGAUGCUCCAGUUUCUGUUGAUGGUGCUGUUGUUGUAUUUAGUGAGGAUACCAGAGUGGUUGUGGGGGUCACCUCUAUGGUUGUGGAAACUUCAGUUUCCGUUGACGGUGCUGUUGUUGUUGAAGCAGCAUUUGUUGUUGUUGAUGCUGCAGUUGUACUUGGUGAGGAUAUCAGAGUGGUUGAGGGUGUCACCUCUAUGGUUGUGGAAACUUCAGUUUCCGUUGACGGUGCUGUUGUUGUUGAAGCAGCAUUUGUUGUUGUUGAUGCUGCAGUUGUACUUGGUGAGGAUAUCAGAGUGGUUGAGGGUGUCACCUCUAUGGUUGUGGAAACUUCAGUUUCCGUUGACGGUGCUGUUGUUGUUGAAGCAGCAUUUGUUGUUGUUGAUGCUGCAGUUGUACUUGGUGAGGAUAUCAGAGUGGUUGAGGGUGUCACCUCUAUGGUUGUGGAAACUUCAGUUUCCGUUGACGGUGCUGUUGUUGUUGAAGCAGCAUUUGUUGUUGUUGAUGCUGCAGUUGUACUUGG